rnacentral:rRNA from 1 species
GAUGAACGCUGGCGGCGUGCCUAAUACAUGCAAGUCGAGCGAACAGACGAGGAGCUUGCUCCUCUGACGUUAGCGGCGGACGGGUGAGUAACACGUGGAUAACCUACCUAUAAGACUGGGAUAACUUCGGGAAACCGGAGCUAAUACCGGAUAAUAUAUUGAACCGCAUGGUUCAAUAGUGAAAGACGGUUUUGCUGUCACUUAUAGAUGGAUCCGCGCCGCAUUAGCUAGUUGGUAAGGUAACGGCUUACCAAGGCAACGAUGCGUAGCCGACCUGAGAGGGGGAUCGGCCACACUGGAACGGAGACACGGUCCAGACUCCUACGGGAGGCAGCAGUAGGGAAUCUUCCGCAAAGGGCGAAAGCCUGACGGAGCAACGCCGCGUGAGUGAUGAAGGUCUUCGGAUCGUAAAACUCUGUUAUUAGGGAAGAAAAAAUGUGUAAGUAACUAUGCACGUCUUGACGGUACCUAAUCAGAAAGCCACGGCUAACUACGUG